UGCGAUCAUACCAGCACUAAUGCACCGGAUCCCAUCAGAACUCCGCAUUCGUGCUUGGGCGAGAGUAGUACUAGGAUGGGUGACCCCCAGGAAGUCCUCGUGUUGCA
rnacentral:rRNA from 1 species